rnacentral:misc_RNA from 1 species
UCUUCACGUCCAUGAGAACCAACGACAAAAGUGAAAAACAAUGCAUCCGGGGAUGUUUUAAGCUAUUAAAUUACCUUUUGCCUCUCUCCCGUUCUAUGCCCCUAGUUUCAGAGAAGGAAUCGAUAGAGGCAGGAAUCAAAGUAAAAUUCACACUCAUUGAAUUGUUGGGAAAACAUCCGAUGCUCACUCUCCCCUGCUAUUGCUGGAUCAAUCAGCCCCGGUUGCACUCGAACCACCUAUCUCAAAUUGCUUUAUUAAUGCAAAUUCUCUUCUUCUGGUCUGUCUAACUAACGCCGG